CACGUAGGGUGCGAGCGUUGUCCGGAAUUAUUGGGCGUAAAGAGCUCGUAGGCGGUCCGUCACGUCGGGUGUGAAAUUCCAGGGCUCAACCCUGGACCUGCAUUCGAUACGGGCGGACUAGAGUUCGGUAGGGGAGACUGGAAUUCCUGGUGUAGCGGUGAAAUGCGCAGAUAUCAGGAGGAACACCGGUGGCGAAGGCGGGUCUCUGGGCCGAUACUGACGCUGAGGAGCGAAAGCGUGGGGAGCGAACAGGAUUAGAACCUACGUAGUCAGUCCAAGUCCAGUCUCGUGACCUGUC
rnacentral:rRNA from 1 species